UUGGGGAAAAUCCCUAAUACAGGCAUUAAGAUUACAGCUGCGGAGAAAUCAGCAAGACGGUCUUGCCAAGACCGAUGACUCAAAUUUUUCUCCAUUUCUCGACUCUCUACUGUAAAACUCCAUUGUUAAGGUGUGUAUUUUCUUGAGUUUCUUAAUCAAGCUAGAAAGAAAAUUCGUUCUCAUCAUCAAAUUGCAACUCUCUGGGGAAAAAAUCCAUUGUUAAGAGAUAUAUAUGGAGGCUAAUGAGGCUUCUUGUGAGAUCAGUUCGUCUAUCUCGAGAAAACGAUAGAAAAGAAACACUUCAAUUGUUUGGAAUACUUUCUCGAAAUUGCCUCGUACUAGUGACAGUGAAAGGUUAAAAGCACAAUGUCAGUUUUGGGUCCUUUGCUUAUUGAGUUUAUCAAGGAAUGGGGCAUUAAAAUGAAGAUUUUCACUCUUACCUUGGACAAUGCUAGUUGCAAUAAUGGUGUAAUAGAUCAUUAAUCUCUGAUGCGUUCUCUAGUUUGUGAUGGAAAGUUCUUCCAUAUUCGUUGUGGUAAUCGUAUCUUGAACUUAAUAGUGAAGGCUGGUUUGGAAAAAGCAGAUGACGCCAUUGAAAAAGUAAGAGAAGGUGUUAAGCACAUUAAAAAUUCAGAAGGAAGAAUAUUAAAGUUUGUGGAAUGCAUUAUGAAUCAUGGGUUGCCAUGUUCGAAGAAGCUUUGUCAAGAUGUAAGUAGUCGGUGGAAUUCCACUUACCAAAUGCUUGAUAGCGCUCUUCUCUGCCAACAAGCUUAUAUUCAAUAUAAAUUUCUUGAUAUUGAUUUUAAAUAGUCUUUCCGAUGAGGAAUGGAAAAGGGUAGAGAGUAUUGCUAAAUUCUUGAAGCCAUUUUUUGAGAUUACUACAUUAUUUUCCGGAAGCAAAUAUCCUACUGCAAAUUUGUAUCUUCCAAAUGUAUGGAAAAUUCAAAUGUUGCUAACGGAAGCAAAAAAAAGUAGUGAUCGAGUUAAGAAUGAUAUGACUACUUUGAUGCUAAGAAAGUUUUAAGAAAUAUUGGAGGUCGUAUAGUAUGAUUUUGUCAAUUUCCAUUGUCCUUGACCCUCGAUAUAAAUUGAAGUUUGUGAGGUUUUGUUUCUCCAAGAUAGAUCCUAUGACCGCAGAUGCUAAGGUUGAAAAAGUUGUAGAUCAUUUACAAUUGUUAUUUAGAGAAUGCUUGGUACCUUCAACAACAAUUUCUCUCUUAGGGGAGACCGUUUGUCAUACAAGCAACAAUGAAAUGAGGGAUGAUCUUGAAGAGUUUGAUGUGUUUGAGAAUCAAUUAGAUUCUGGUAGAGAUAAAACACAAUUGGAUUUGUACUUAGAGGAGCCUAAACUUGAUCGGAAAGGGAAUCCAAAUUUAGAUGUACUUGCAUAUUGGAAGGAAAAUAGAGGAAGGUAUACAGAGCUUUCGUUGAUGGCACGAGAUAUCUUGAGCAUACCAAUUGCCACGAUAGCUUCAGAAUCUACCUUUAGCAUUGGAGGUCGUAUUAUUGGAAAGUUUCAAAGUUCUAUUUUACCUUCAAAUGCUGAAGCAAAAUUGUGUGCUAAAGAUUGGCUCUAUGGACAAGAAGAUUGUGAUGGAUCAGACAACGAUGAGGAUGAAAUUUCAGUGGAACUUCAACCGUAUCUUGCUAAACGUGGCUCACAUUGAUAGAGGAGUCCAACAAGAAAUUUGAUGAUUUCAUUAAGAAAAUCAAUCAAGAGAGGUUGCUGCAGAGGCAAGAAUCUGAUCAGCGUGCCCACAGUAUUAAUAUGCUAAAUCGAGCACGAUAAGUGUUUCCUUGUAGACAUGUAACUGAUGGCAUGGAGUUCUUGUGUUCCUCGCAUGAAGCCUGAUGUAAGAUUCCCUAAAUUUCAAAAGAACUUGUGAGAGAGUUUUAUCUGAAAAUUGUAGAAGUUGUAUAUUUCUAGUGUAUGUAGCAGCUCUUCUGAACUUUACAAUGGCAGCUUUUGCAUUCAACAUCAAGUGACUGGUCUAAUUUUGGAGAACAAUAACUUCACUUCAACCUUACUGUUCAAGAACUCCAAGAGAACAAACAAGGACAGUUUUUGCACUAAAAUUUAAUACCAAGAGAAUCCCAUAUACUUAGUAAAGUUAAUACAAGGUAACAGACUAACAGUAGAACAACUUCAGUUAAGGACACAAGAGCUAAUGUCCAACUCAGUGGCUGCAAUUCAAGAUUAUUGAACAAAAAAGAAGAAAUCCCAGCAUCCUGAUGCGCUGUUGGCUGCUGCAGAUCGCCCGUCAAAUAUUAUACUAUUUUGUUUAGUCUCUUGUUUAGCCAUGAGACUGCACUUCUUUGUUUAUAUUUGUAUUGAUUAUUGUAUUUUGAUGUUAAUACUUGAUUUCCACGGAAUGAAUACUGAUCUUUAUCCUUUUAGUAUCAUUUGGAGUACUA